AUGGACUUUAAAGAAAAAACUGCAGCUUCUCUUAAUAGUGGGUGACUUUCAUCAACAAUAGUUGUACAUUCAAUUAACAUGCUGAUUCCUUUAGGAAAAGUUAAGAGGUCUAAAAUUAUAUUGAAAACUUACCAUCUUGAUUUUGAGAGAAUGAAUUUUGGAGUUGAACGUUCCCAUAGCAAAUUGUAGAAAUUGCUUGAAUAAUUGAAGCCAUAGAGAUUUCCUCGCUGACUAGUUUCCAUGUAGCUUUUAUCUCUUCAACUAUAAUAUGAUUGGGACAAAUUAAAUGUCUCCUAAACUUUAGCAUGAUUCUCAGCAAGUCUAUAAGGCUAAUAUUGACUUUACUAAAGAAAUCAAUAUUACUUUCAUCUUUAGGGGUACUAAUUCUUAAAACAGAAACCCAUCCUUUAAUAUUACCAAGCUUUGAUAUGCUGAACUUUACUAAAUUUUUAUUUUCCGAUUUUAAGGACCAAUCUUCAAUCUGAAGAUUAAUAAAUUGCUCUAAAUAGGAAACUCCCAC
rnacentral:antisense_RNA from 1 species